GUCCCCAUAGCUCAGUUGGACAGAGCGCGGCGCUACGAACGCCGAGGCCCGAGGUUCGACUCCUCGUGGGGACA
rnacentral:tRNA from 1 species